GUGGUCUGUGUGUGGAUGGUGUUCAGCACCAAGGACAGGUGUGUGUGGUCUGUGUGUGGAUGGUGUUCAGCACCAAGGACAGGUGUGUGUGUGU
rnacentral:pre_miRNA from 1 species